rnacentral:rRNA from 1 species
ACGGGUAGCCGGCCUGAGAGGGUGACCGGCCACACUGGGACUGAGACACGGCCCAGACUCCUACGGGAGGCAGCAGUGGGGAAUAUUGCACAAUGGGCGAAAGCCUGAUGCAGCAACGCCGCGUGAGGGACGACGGCCUUCGGGUUGUAAACCUCUUUUAGCAGGGAAGAAGCGAAAGUGACGGUACCUGCAGAAAAAGCACCGGCUAACUACGUGCCAGCAGCCGCGGUAAUACGUAGGGUGCAAGCGUUGUCCGGAAUUAUUGGGCGUAAAGAGCUCGUAGGCGGUUUGUCGCGUCUGCUGUGAAAACGCGAGGCUCAACCUCGCGCCUGCAGUGGGUACGGGCAGACUAGAGUGCGGUAGGGGAGAUUGGAAUUCCUGGUGUAGCGGUGGAAUGCGCAGAUAUCAGGAGGAACACCGAUGGCGAAGGCAGAUCUCUGGGCCGUAACUGACGCUGAGGAGCGAAAGCGUGGGGAGCGA